AGGUAGAGCACUGUUUGGACGAGGGGCCCCUCUCGGGUUACCGAAUUCAGACAAACUCCGAAUGCCAAUUAAUUUAACUUGGGAGUCAGAACAUGGGUGAUAAGGUCCGUGUUCGAAAGGGAAACAGCCCAGACCACCAGCUAAGGUCCCAAAAUAUAUGUUAAGUGGAAAAGGAUGUGGCGUUGCCCAGACAACUAGGAUGUUGGCUUAGAAGCAGCCAUCAUUUAAAGAGUGCGUAAUAGCUCACUAGUCGAGUGACACUGCGCCGAAAAUGUACCGGGGCUAAACAUAUUACCGAAGCUGUGGAUUGUCCUUUGGACAAUGGUAGGAGAGCGUUCUAAGGGCGUUGAAGCAUGAUCGUAAGGACAUGUGGAGCGCUUAGAAGUGAGAAUGCCGGUGUGAGUAGCGAAAGACGGGUGAGAAUCCCGUCCACCGAUUGACUAAGGUUUCCAGAGGAAGGCUCGUCCGCUCUGGGUUAGUCGGGUCCUAAGCUGAGGCCGACAGGCGUAGGCGAUGGAUAACAGGUUGAUAUUCCUGUACCACCUAUAAUCGUUUUA
rnacentral:rRNA from 1 species